GCGAGCCGGUGAACGAUCACUGCCACGGCAGAGGAAACUCCUCCCUCCAUGCAGCAAGUGUGAUCCGGAGACGGAUAAUCAGAGAUGAUUGGCAACAGCACAGAAAAAAAUCCGACCUGGCGUACUGUGAUGGUGUAAAGCCUGAGGUUUCCAGUACUGGAAUGAAAAAUCUGUCCCACGCGGAGAAAGGCCAAAUCAAACAAUAAGCGCUGCACUUUGUUUAGGUAGGCCGCAUAGCGAAAUAUCGUGAAAACAGAAGGAGGGUUACGGCUGGCGCGC
rnacentral:RNase_P_RNA from 1 species